GGGAGAGGACCAUCCAUCUCCACCCACUGCCGUGUGACUUGCUGUUCAUCCUUGAUCAAUCUUUUCAAAAUAUUCACUUCCCUUCUCAAGAACUACACUGCCUCUCCACUGUCCAACAGAUUAAAUCCUGCUCAUUCUGCUCUAUCAGCUCCUCAAGCCUACAUAGCAGACGCAGCCAGUCCUUGAGUGGGACUUCUAAGAAAGAC